AUGACCCCUUUAAAAUCCAUCUACAAGUUCUUGUGCUUGAAAAGGUCAAAUAGAAAUGGAAAUAAAAAUUCCUCUUGCCAUUUACUUCCUAUAGUGCAAAAUUUAUUGUUGGUAAGUAGAGUGCCCAAAAUGAUCUUUUAUACCCUUCAGCACCAUCCCACUGCCAUCCUUUUUGUAUUUUGCUCUUUUGUGAUAUAUACACAUAUUACUUAGAUUUAGUGUAAGAAGGCUCCUCUUUUAUCCAACAUCAUAGUGCUUUUGUUUUCAACAAAGGGACAUAUUUGAAGAAUAGGAAAAGAUUUAUAUUCUACUGCACCACUCCCCCUCUCCAUCCUUUGAUUUUUCAGCACUCCCAAAGUUUACUGUACCAUUAAAGUUUGGCAAGGGACAGGGAAUGGUAUUUGAUUAAAUACAACUAAAGUUAAAUGAAAUUACUUUUCUCUAAAUUGUCUUAUCUACAAAAGAUAUGGUACUGCUGUGAUCCACAGUGACAUCUGUUCUUUUAUUCAUGUAAAUACAUGUGCAAACAUAGUGACCUAUAUGUUACUGUAUUCAGUACAGCUGCAUAUAGCCAUGAACAUGUUUUAUUUUGGUUUACUUUGACACUGAUUUAUUGAUAACAGACUGUUAAGGCAGAGUUAAGGUAAGGAAAGACAUUUCUGAAAAGAACAUGUAAAAUUAAAGUUUGUGGGAAACAUUAUUUUUCUUUUUACAAAUUACAAUUAUUUUACUGUGUGUGAGAGAGAGAGACACUAUUUUCACUUCUUUUUCAAUAAAUAAUUUAUUUUUGUUAUUUAUUUUUUGUUAUGAUGAUUUUGUCCAUCACAGCUGCUGAACACAUGAAUAGUACUACAUCAUAAAUUCCUAUGUCUAAAAUAAAUGUUUAUGUUCCUUUUCUGCCUAAAAGAUGUAGAAAUAAAAAUGUCUUCCUUUCAUUUCCUUUGUCAUUUUCAUGAGUAAAAAGAGGAUCAAAGUAGUUAUGAAAGGGUGCCUAGACUAUUUGGAAUUUCGCACCACAGUGGAAGCAGCUUUAGUGGAGGGUGCGGGGUUCAUUUGUCUCCUGUCAUGAUUUCUUUAAUGCAUAACAUUAGCAUUGAAGUACAAUAGAAAUGCAUGUAGGUGUUGUUGUGUUUGUUGUGUGUAUAUAUAUAUAUAUAUAUAUAUAUAUAUAUACAGUAUAUAAACCAAAUAUUUGGUAAUUUUAACUAAAAUUCAGAUUCAAAUAAUAAAGUGAAAAAUUAGGAUUUAUUAGGAUCCUGGACCUAAGUGUUCUACUUGGACUUAUGAAAGAAACAACAAAUGUGUUUUUGUUCUAUGUACAUUAUGUAGUAUUCUUUCCAAGGAAUGUAAGGAAAAUAUAAGGAAAUUGCAGAGACUUGCAUGCCUAACACCCUCCUUCCAUCACUUCCCCUUAGCUCAACCAAAACACAUAAUUCUAUGAACAGCCACAGCGGUCCACCACCAUUCCUGGGAUUUUGCCAUGGAUUAUCUGCUGUUUAUCAUUGAAGUACAGCAUGUUUAUCGGCGACAUCUUUGUGGGUGUGCAGCAUGGCCCUGCCGAGCCUCUAGGAUUGGCAUGCUGAACCAGAUGAGUAUGUGGGUACUUCUGCAUGAACAUGUACUCACACUGGCCUGAACAGUAGUUUGCUUUGUAACGUUUGGGUGCAAUGAUCCAGUCCCAGCCAAAAGCUUCAAAGUCCACUGUGAGCGGGUAGCGACAACAGCGGGAUUCUGUGGAGUGUUCAUCACAGUCAAGUCCCAGAUUUCCCGUGAGCGCUUGG
rnacentral:lncRNA from 1 species